rnacentral:rRNA from 1 species
AGCGUCUCUAGUUAUGGUGAGACGCGGCAGACGGCUCAGUAACACGUGGCUAACCUACCCUUAGGACAGGGACAAACCCGGGAAACUGGGGCUAAUACCCGAUAGGCGAGGGCGCCUGGAAUGGUUCUUCACCCAAAGGGCUUUGAAAGCAUGCUUUUCAAAGUCGCCUGAGGAUGGGGCCGCGUCCGAUCAGGUUGUUGGUGAGGUAACGGCUCACCAAGCCUAUAACCGGUACGGGCCGUGAGAGCGGUAGCCCGGAGAUGGGCACUGAGACAAGGGCCCAGGCCCUACGGGGCGCAGCAGUCGCGAAAACUCCGCAAUGCACGAAAGUGUGACGGGGCUACCCCGAGUGCCGUCCGCUGAGGAUGGCUUUUCCUCGGUGUAACUAGCCGGGGGAAUAAGGAGAGGGCAAGACUGGUGUCAGCCGCCGCGGUAAUACCAGCUCUCCGAGUGGUAGGGAUGAUUAUUGGGCUUAAAGCGUCCGUAGCCGGCUUAGCAAGUCUCCUGUUAAACUCAGCGACCCAAUUGUUGAAUCGCG